UGCGAGUGAAGCGGCAAAAGCUCAAAUUUGAAAUCUGUGGCCUCAAACCGGGCCACCGAGUUGUAAUUUUGAGAUACGUUUUCGACGGAUAGGCCUGCCUUAAGUUCCUUGGAACAGGACGUCACAGAGGGUGAGAAUCCCGUGAAAGGUAGGCCUUGACGCAUAUGUGACGUAUUCAACGAGUCGAGUUGUUUGGGAAUGCAGCUCAAAAUGGGUGGUAAAUUUCAUCUAAAGCUAAAUAUUGGGGAGAGACCGAUAGCGCACAAGUAGAGUGAUCGAAAGAUGAAAAGCACUUUGAAAAGAGAGUUAAAAAGUACGUGAAAUUGUUGAAAGGGAAGCGCUCGAGACCAGACUCAAUACGUUGCUGAUCAACUGCAGUUCUCUGCUGUGCACUCAGCGCUCAUUGGGACAGCAUCGGUUCUGGCGGAGGGACAAAGCCUCAGGAAAUGUGGCACUCCUAUUAGGGGUGUGUUAUAGUCCUUUGGGUAAUGCCUCCAGCCGGGACCGAGGACCGCGCCUAGGCUAGGAUGCUGUCAUAAUGGUCUUCAGCGACCCGUCUUGAAACACGGACCAAGGAGUCUAACAUCUAUGCGAGUGUUCGGGUGGAAAACCCUUGCGCGUAAUGAAGGUGAACGGAGGUGGGAAUCUUUUGAUGCACCAUCGACCGAUCCUGAAGUCUUCUGAAGGAUUUGAGUAUGAGCAUAGCUGUUGGGACCCGAAAGAUGGUGAACUAUGCCUGAAUAGGGUGAAGCCA
rnacentral:rRNA from 1 species